AGUGAACGCUGGCGGCAGGCCUAACACAUGCAAGUCGAACGGCAGCACAGCAGUAGCAAUACUGUGGGUGGCGAGUGGCGGACGGGUGAGGAAUACAUCGGAAUCUGCCCAGUCGUGGGGGAUAACAUAGGGAAACUUAUGCUAAUACCGCAUACGACCUGAGGGUGAAAGCGGGGGAUCGCAAGACCUCGCGCGAUUGGAUGAGCCGAUGUCCGAUUAGCUAGUUGGCGGGGUAAUGGCCCACCAAGGCGACGAUCGGUAGCUGGUCUGAGAGGAUGAUCAGCCACACUGGAACUGAGACACGGUCCAGACUCCUACGGGAGGCAGCAGUGGGGAAUAUUGGACAAUGGGCGCAAGCCUGAUCCAGCCAUGCCGCGUGGGUGAAGAAGG
rnacentral:rRNA from 1 species